CAACCCUCAAACCCCCGGGUUUGGUGUUGGGGAUCGGCGGUCGCGGCCCUCUACGGGCCCGCGCCGGCCCCGAAAUCUAGUGGCGGUCUCGCUUGCAGCCUCCUCUGCGUAGUAGUAACAUUCUCGCACCGGAGCGCGGGCGCGGCCACGCCGUUAAACACCCCACUUCUGAAA
rnacentral:misc_RNA from 1 species